rnacentral:tRNA from 1 species
GGCCGGAUAGCGGAGUGGUGACGCAACGGACUGCAAAUCCGUUUAGCCUGGUUCAAUCCCAGGUCCGGCUUCCA